rnacentral:tRNA from 1 species
GGUGUUGGCGGUGAUCGCCGUGGACAGCGCCGAGGAGGCUUUGGCGGUAGCCAAUGACAGCGACUAUGGCUUGGCGGCAGCGGUG